UGUGUUUCCCUUUUAUACUCACCGCUUCCGGUGUCAACGUCGCUUCCGGGGAAAAUCACAACCAGACGGUUGCUCUCCACUGCUGUCCAUAUUUUUGCAGUUUGCGAACUAAUAUCAAGUCAACCAUGGUGGACUACGGUUCGGGGCCUGUAAAGGAGAGCAUAGACAACACGGUGUUCAUAUUUCCAGGCAUCAUUGUCAUUUGCCUAGUCUCCUUUUUUGCCUACAAGCUGUUCAAAAGCUUGAGAGAGAAAGAAAAAGCCAAGGAAGAAAAGAAAAAGAUGAAACAACAAAGGAAAGAAAAAGAACAACAAAAGAAACAGAAGAAAAAGUUAUGAUUCUGUGCACCUAGGAAUUCAUUUUAGAAAAAAAAGACUAGCAGCUACACGAUUGUAAAUUAUUUAUGUGACAGAGAAAAAUCAGAGACAAGCAAGAAACCUCAUGUUGUUUGAAUUGAUGACAAAAUUUGGAUGUGAACUAAUGUUAGAAUGUGAAGUCAUUGAAAACACUCACCCACCUUUUUUUUGUUGAAGUCUUGAUCGAUUAGGGAAUGUAUGUUUUAUGAAUUCAGAUUUCUUGACUGUUGUUAGCUAUUUCACUGUGUUUCUGUGUUCUUCACAAAAGAGUUAACUCAUGCAAUAAUCUAGAUUUGAUUAUUUUUAAAAUACAUUUCACUGUUUUAUAAUUUUUAAUUUCCAUUCUUCAAUUUUUUUAUUAACAGAUGGUUUGUUCACUUUAAAGAAAUGAAUCCUUAUAGAUACUUCUCAAUGGAGACUUUAAUUUCAAUAGAUAGAUAAAAAAAAUUGUGUGUUACAAAUAAUGCUAUUAAAUUGUUACACAACAUCAGUACAGUGUAUAAACUAUCAUGAAAAUUUUUAAGACAUUUAAACGAGUGGUUUAGGACAAUAUUUAAAACUAGGUCUGAGAGUUACUUGUACAUUUCAUCAUGAAAACUUCGUUUUGUGAUAUACCGGUAAUUCAUUGCUGAAAAAAAGGAAUCUUUUUAAUCUUUAAGAAAUAUGUUUACAUAUCAUACAGAUUUGUUUUUUUAAAAAACUGCUUUGUGGUAAAAGAAUGAGACAUUAUUGAUAAAAAAAUUGGGGACUCACUAGUCGAUAUUGAUCAACUCUACACUAUCAUACCUCGUAUAAGCCAUUGUCUCAUUUUACUUAUAGUGUACACUGUAGACUUUGUUAGAUUAAGAUUAUUUCACUUGUAUUGGAUCUGUGAAUUGUAAGAAAAUCUAAUUUUUAUGGAUGGUAUUAUGUGGAAAAUGGUUGUGUAAAAUGCAUUAUUUUAUAUUUUUAUUUGAUGCAGGCAUUGGUAUUACAUUAAUAGUGAACCAUUUUAUCAAACAUUUUCCUCAACUGAUCUUUCCUUCAAUAUAUUACUGGCAUUGAUAAGUUUAAAAAUGACGUAUAUAUAUAAAAAGAUUUCAAAAUUAGAUAUUAUGACCCUGUAUUAUUUUCAAAGUUCUCUAAAAGUAUUUUUUUAUUAUACACAUGAACAUCAUUCUUUAGUCUUAAAAAAAAAUUGGUAGAUUAUGUUUGAGUUUUUCAAAAAAGGAAGAGCCAAUGUGACCAGAAUCCAACACUGUAUUGUAUAUACAGGCAAGUCAUGUACCGGUACACUCUGAAGAAUUUUUCACUGUAAUUUAUAACCCACUCACCCACCCCCCUCCCCACAAUACCUGAAAUUAAAAAAUAAAGAAUGUUAAUGACCCUGUCAAAUAAAGUAUUAAGAUCAAGUCUCCUUGUAUAAAUUGGUCAGAUUGUUCCAUGACAUUUCAGUGAUCUCGACUUUUUUCUAUUUUGAUGCAAGUUUCUUAUAAAUUAAUCAAAUUAGAAGCAAAUUCUCUUUGAGGAUGUUAACUACUUGGCCCUUAUUUUUUAAUGCUCAACCAAAUUUAACAUUUAACUGUAUAAAUAAAAACAUAAUUAAGUAGAAGUUGAUAAAAAUUCAGUGAAAAAAAAAGGCUUACAGACAAAAAAUAAAUUAUGUAUUAUAACUACACUUUGACCAUAAACUUCAAUUCCUUUUAAGCUAGUUCCCUGUUUUACUGUGCGAAGUUUAACUCGACACAUUGGUGCCCCCCCCCCCCCCACCAAAAAAAACCCAAAAAACAAAACAAAAAAAACAAAACAAACACAUAUACACACAUUCCUGCUACAAUAUUUAUACCUCAGAAACUGACUUCAAAUCUAAUGACACAACUGAUCAGCAAAUCUCUAUUAUACACACAAUAUUCCAGUUAUUUUGAAAACUUAAAAAGAUUUUGCUGAAAUGCAUCAUGUGAAGUCAACACCUGAAAAUAUCUGCAUUGUAACAUUUGAGCUAUCAGCAACAAAUGACUGACUUUUUAAAAAAAAUUACUUGGUUAAGUCAAAACAAUCGCUAAUAUUUGGAAACUAUUAGAAACUCUUUAGCCGAUUAAAUGUUGGGAAAGGUCAACAGGUGUUUUUUUUUGCGUUUAUUUAUCUAUUUAUUAUGUUUUAUGGUUUCCAAUGUUCAUGACUUAGUAUUUUACUUAUGGGUAGCAUAGCAUUAGCAUGUUUCUUGUGUUGAGUCAGAAUUUUCAAUAUUAUUUGUUACAUACUACUUUAUAUUACAUUAGAAGUAUUAAUGACAUUCAAGUGCAAUUUUGUUACAUGUAAUAUUUUAUUUCAUUUUAAUAGUGUUGAUGAUUGGCCUAAUUUAUCGAAUUGAAUGGUUAUGAAUCAGGUUUUAAAAAAAUAUUUCACUACGCAUCUACCAUUAUAGGUCAUCUUACAUUUGUCAAUAGAAAUCUGUUGUUGAUUGGUGUGUAUGAAUUCAAUGUCAUGAAUUUGAAAUGCAGAGAACUAUAAAUUCUGUAAACAACUCACUUGUUAAAAAUCAUAAACCAAAACAGACACAGGCAAAUGUAUUUAGUUUAAUAGUUGAUAAUUAACAAAUCUGUCUGACUGAGUGACUUGUACAUUGUGAUAUGGAUUUGAAGAAAAUUGCAGCAUUAUCAUAUCGUACCUACACUGUAGAUCUUCGGUCAUAUUCCCUUCAUGAAAGAAAUGGGUCCGGAAAUUGGAUGUAAAUGUUGUACCAAUUUUAUAUUCCUGUAUCGCUGUAUUCUCAGAAAUGAAAAGAUAUAUGAAUAAAAUUGAAAGGUUA